rnacentral:rRNA from 1 species
AGAGUUUGAUCCUGGCUCAGGAUGAACGCUGGCGGCGUGCCUAAUACAUGCAAGUCGAACGCUUUGUGGUUCAACUGAUUUGAAGAGCUUGCUCAGAUAUGACGAUGGACAUUGCAAAGAGUGGCGAACGGGUGAGUAACACGUGGGAAACCUACCUCUUAGCAGGGGAUAACAUUUGGAAACAGAUGCUAAUACCGUAUAACAAUAGCAACCGCAUGGUUGCUACUUAAAAGAUGGUUCUGCUAUCACUAAGAGAUGGUCCCGCGGUGCAUGAGUUAGUUGGUGAGGUAAUGGCUCACCAAGACGAUGAUGCAUAGCCGAGUUGAGAGACUGAUCGGCCACAAUGGGACUGAGACACGGCCCAUACUCCUACGGGAGGCAGCAGUAUGGAAUCUUCCACAAUGGGCGAUGCCUGAUGGAGCACGCCUGUGUGUGAUGAUGGGUNCGGCUCGUAAAACACUGUUGUAAGAGAAGAAUGACAUUGAGAGUAUCUGUUCAUUGUGUGACGGUAUCUUACCAGAGAGGAACGGCUAAUAC